CCCGGCCCCCUCCUGAGUGCUGCGGUUCACAGCCCCAGAGCCCGAGCCACGUGGAUCUGCAGAUGAGGAGGCGGAAUUCUUGCCUUGGUGGAGGAAAGGCCCUCUAAUGCGGUGCCGCCGUACCUUCUGUGAGCCUGGCCUGCGUCUGCUGCCUGGCCCGUAACCUGUGUUCCACCACUGAGAGCCCGUGACUGUUGAAUCCGUAUCUGUAACACAGAAGAGGAUGGGGAGGGGACAAGGUUAGAGCCCUCAGGUGGAAAGCAAGGACUCUGGAGAGACAGCUAUGCGGCUGUUUUCAACAUCUACUUAGGUUUGUUUGGGGUUUUUUGUUUUGGUUUUGUUUUUGCUUUUUGUCUUUUGUCUUUUUAGGGCUGCACCUACGGCAUAUGGAGGCUCCCAGGCUAGGAGGUCGAAACAGUUACAGCUGCCGGCCUACACCACAGACACAGCAAUGCAGGAUCCAAGCCGCAUCCGCAACCUGUACCAUGGCUAACGGCAACACUGGAUCCUUAACCCACUGAGUAAGGCCGGAGAUAAAACCUGCAUCCACAUCGAUCCUAGUCGGGUUUGUUAACCACUGCGCCGUGAUGGGAGCUCCUACUUAAGACUUUAUAAGCUGAAAAGAAAAAAUCAAUUUUUAGCCUUCUAAACAUCCUUGGAACUCCUAGAGAACAUGCCAGAACACCAUCAAAUGCAAAAGGAAAGAUGAAAAUGGGCCAACUAGCCCUGUAAUCAGCCCUGUCAGGGUACAGCCCACUCCUCCUUACUCCCCGCUGCCCCACCUGCCCCCACCCCAGCGGGGCCCUCACCCCGCUGAUAACCCAUCUUCCCACCUGCCUGUGCCCCAAGAACGUGCCUCCUGGAACCCAUCCUGCUGCCCCCUUUCCCCAUCCUUUCUGCCUGUUAAAUGGCUUCUUCCUGGCCCAGGUCAAAGGCUCUCCCCCUCCUUGCAUAGAUCUCUCAGCCACAAAUGAUUGCUCACCCGCUGGCAUUCCUGAAGCGCGUCAUACCUCUUUCUCUUGGCUCAGGAGGUGUGUGUGUGCUUCAGUUCCCCUACUGGGUUACGGCUGAGAACAAGGGACUUCUGCCUCUGUGUCUAGUGGCAGAUAAUGGCGAUGUGUCCCUUGUCCUUGAAACAAGCAGGAUAAAACAGGAUAUGCAGGCCAAUUUAACUUCCCUUACGCCAGCCUCCCAGGAGGUCACUGAUGGUUUCAAAGGUGCCCAUCAAAAUCCCCUCCAGGAGGCUCUCAAAAUUCUGUUAUCAAAACAGAACUUCUUCACUUGCUGAGUUGGCUGUCAUGAAAACUGCCAGGGAUUAUGAAGAGAAGGGCUUUACACACUUUUGAAGGAUGUCUCCUCCUAAAAGCAGCUGUCUAUACCAAUUAAAUUUUCCAGGUACUAAAGCAGAGGUCUGAGCAGAGCUACUAGUCACAUGUGGCUGUGGAGCAUGUGAAUCCGGCCAGUCCAACCUGAGAGCUAUUAGGAAAACAGCGCAUUUCAAGAUUUGGGACAAGUAAAAGAAGGUCCAGCCAGAGUCCUGAAUGGUUCACGAUUCCCACCUGAUGGAGUCAACGAAUCAAGUAGCAAGACCCAGACGUGAAAAGGUUGGAGAAGAAUCGGGGUAUCAUAAAGCCAGCGGUUGACGAUGGAAUCGCCACUGUCAGCUGAUGUGGCAGGAAGGCCUGUGCCGGAACUGGCAAGGGUCCAGGGUGGGCACCCUCUGCUCUUGGAAGCAGGAGGAAGAAAGGCUGCCCCCCAAAAGUGGGGAAACCAAGCUGAGAGUGUGCCUCAGGGGCUGGGUGGCAGGGAGGGUGGCUGUACAACAGGUCCUCCAGGGAGCCUACAGUCCUCAUGCCCAGCGAUGGAGGUCAGAUGGGGCUGGCAUGAGGCCAGAGCCUCUGUGUAGAGGGACCCCCCCUGCUUUGCCAAAGGUCUCUUUAUGCCACUUGGCUUUGAGGAAAGACCUACCUUAGUACCCGUUUUCUCGAACGGAAAGGAAUACAAUGAGGAUUUUCACCUCUUGAAAAAAAAGGUGACACAACUGCUGAAAACUUUAAGACGGGAAGUAAACGAGAUUCUAAAAUGAAAAGGGAAAAUGGAGAAAAGGCCUCUUGGAUAAAGUAACCCUUCCCCAAGGAGGUGAGUGCUGCUUGUUGAUGUUGUCUUCAUGCUCAUAAUCCUUGUAAUCCCCCCCCACCCCCAAUUUGGUAAGAAGCCUCUCAAAACUGUCAAGAGAUGAGGACGUGGAGGCUUCCACAUUGUUAGCUGCAGAGACCCCAGCACACAGAAAAGUAGGGGACCCAUGCUGGGGCCUGUGUGUUGAAUGAAGCACGGAAUGAGGCUGGGACAGGAGCUGCAUGCUCUCCUCGAAGGGCUUGGCUAGACGUGCUGACGUCAUGUUAGAUGCUGGCACGCUUCCCUUUUCAGCAGAAGUGAGCCCCAAGCUACUGAGACCUCGGCCAGGCAAAUGGUGGCCAAGGGGACAGAUGCCAAGCCAGAUUCCAUGGGUUUGAAUCCUGGCUCUGCCACUUUCCAGCUGUGUGCCUUUGGGUGUUACAGGAGCACCUACCAGCAUGUCAGAGUCUUGAAACGUGGCCCGAGGAAGGAGCCCCAGGGAUGUGAAGCGAAUGGCCAGCCUGUGAGCUGUCUCUGGGUCUAGCAGCCCCUGCAGAGCCGGCAUCAGGAGUUCCCUGUAGAAACGCUCAUCCCCCGUGGCUGUCAGCCACUCAUCUUUCAACCCUGUGUCACCAGCCUGCUUAUGCCAAUCUCGUCAGUACUUUCUUACCCUCAUGGUGCACAUCUUGGAAUAUUCCUCUCUUUGACACUCCUGCUCUCUUCCCGCAGCUGAUCUCUAGGUUGAAACUGUUGUGGUCAGAAAAGAUGCAUGAUGUGAUUUCGGUCUUCAGUUUGUUCGGACUUGCUUUGUGGUGCAACAUACGAUCCAUCCUGGAGAACGGUCCAUGUGCAGUGGAGGAGAAUGUGUAUUCGGUGCUGCCGAAGGGAAUGUGUUGCACGUCUGCUGGGUCCAUUUGGUUCUGUAGGGCUCAGCCAGAUCCUUAACCCACUGAGAAAAAGCAGGGAUUGAACCUGCAUCCUCACUGGAUACUAGUCAGGUUCUUAACCCACUGAGCCACAGUAGGAACUCCAUAAUAGGGUUUAUUACUGAUGGGAACUCCUUUCUUCUGGGCAAUGUUCUGCUUCGUCAGAUUUGCAUUCCUGGUGCCCCACUCCUUCUAACUACAGUGUCUCUCCAAGAACAAGUGAAGCGUCUCACCAAGAUCAGGAUGAUGCAGAGAACCAUGGGGUUACCUCGGGGCCCCCUGAUGCAAACAACACAAAAACAGGCUGCAUUUGGCAUGAUCAGAAUCCAGAGAUCGUGGGUGGCCAUCCCAUCAAGGGGAAUUUACCACUUACUCAGGAGGAGGAUACGCUGUGAGACUUGGAAGAAACUCCAGUCCUGCAGUCAGUCUUACAUUCGUGUUAACACGAGUGAAAGGUGGGACGUUAGAAAUCCUACUUUGCAGGCGGACGAGAUGGGGAAACGCAGCUUCUCACGUGCUGUGUGAGCGGCGGCGGGAGGCCGAGGCCUUUUCCCCCUUCCCCGAGUUCCGCAGCCGCGUGAGCAGAGCCGCUGGCUAGACCGCUGCACCGAAAGCCUCUUUGCGGAAUUUGCGGUCCUCGCUUUCCAGCGUGAACCUGUUCUGUGGAGAGACCCUGACUUUGGAGUCCAGCAAGGUGCUUUCUCCACCUCGGUGAGACUGGACAUUUUAACUUGCCUUCGGACAUCAAAGGACCUUGCCUGGUCUGUCAUCUCACAAGUCACCGAUUAUCUGCUAGUCUGUUACUAUGCCUUUGUACAGGAGAACUGAAAAUGUCAGAUUUAAGGAAGUCUCAAGGUCGACAGGUCCUAUUUGGGGAGCUUUUCAAUGAGCUGUUAUUAGGAUUAUGGCUAUGAUUUUGGUCCUUUCCAGAACCCUGAAUUCAGUUAAAGCUACUGCCUAUCCACCAAGUAGCUCUUUGAGUUUUCAAGAUUUCAAGAAUUAAGUUUGGAGUUCCCGUCGUGGCUCAGUGGGAACGAAUCUGACUAGGAACCAUGAGGUCACGGGUUCAAUCCCUGG